rnacentral:rRNA from 1 species
UACGUAGGGUGCAAGCGUUGUCCGGAAUUAUUGGGCGUAAAGAGCUCGUAGGCGGUCUGUCGCGUCGGCUGUGAAAACUCGGGGCUCAACCCCGAGCCUGCAGUCGAUACGGGCAGACUAGAGUGCGGUAGGGGAGACUGGAAUUCCUGGUGUAGCGGUGAAAUGCGCAGAUAUCAGGAGGAACACCAGCGGCGAAGGCGGCGCUCUGGGCCGGAACUGACGCUGAGGAGCGAAAGCGUGGGUAGCAAACAGG